AAUUGUUCCUCGUUAAGGUUUUUAAAUUGUUCUCAUUCCGAUAGUAGAACCGUUAAGGCCCUACAUCAGUAUUUCUUGUCACUAUCUCCCCGAAUCGGGAUUGGAUAAUUUACGCGCCUGCUGCCUUCCUUGGAAGUGGUCGCCGUUUCUCAGGCGGCCUCUCCGGAAUCGAACCCUAAUUCCCCGUACCCGUUAUCACCACCGUAGUCCCCUACACUACGGUUGAAAGUUGAUAGGGCAGAAACUCGUUCGCAUCAUCGAGGACCUAAGCCCUCGAUUCGCUUCAAGUCUUACUAUGAUUCAUCUGUCACUGGAACUUUCGCCCCAAGUUAGUCUCUCGAGUAGUAAACGCGACCUUCCCGAGGUUGCCCCCGGUCCAGUCCUUUCGCAUGUAUUAGCUCUAGAAUUCCUACAGUUAUCCAAGUAACAGAAUCGAUCGAGUAGAUUAUAACUGAUAUAAUGAGCCAUUCGCAGUUUCGCCGUAUAAUCGCUUAUACUUAGACAUGCAUGGCUUAAUCUUUGAGACAAGCAUAUGAUUG
rnacentral:rRNA from 1 species